GGCGGCGGCCGGAACUGUUUACUUUGAAAAAACUAGAGUGUUCAAAGCAGGCUCUCGAGCCUGGAUAAUGGUGCAUGGAAUAAUGGAAUAGGACCUCGGUUCUAUUUUGUUGGUUUUCGGAGCGCGAGGUAAUGAUUAAGAGGGACAGACGGGGGCAUUCGUACUGUGCCGUUAGAGGUGAAAUUCUUGGAUCGGCGCAAGACGAACGACUGCGAAAGCAUUUGCCAAGAAUGUUUUCUUUAAUCAAGAGCGAAAGUCAGAGGUUCGAAGACGAUCAGAUACCGUCCUAGUUCUGACUAUAAACGAUGCCAACUAGCGAUCGGGGGGCGUUACAUUGACGACCCCUCCGGCAGCUUACGGGAAACCAAAGUCUUUGGGUUCCGGGGGAAGUAUGGUUGCAAAGCUGAAACUUAAAGGAAUUGACGGAAGGGCACCACCAGGAGUGGAGCCUGCGGCUUAAUUUGACUCAACACGGGAAAUCUCACCCGGCCCGGACACAGUGAGGAUUGACAGAUUGAGAGCUCUUUCUUGAUUCUGUGGGUGGUGGUGCAUGGCCGUUCUUAGUUGGUGGAGCGAUUUGUCUGGUUAAUUCCGAUAACGAACGAGACUCUGGCUUGCUAAAUAGUUACGCGACCAUCCCGGUCGGCGUUUAACUUCUUAGAGGGACAAGUGGCGUUUAGCCCCACGAGAUUGAGCAAUAACAGGUCUGUGAUGCCCUUAGAUGUUCGGGGCCGCACGCGCGCUACACUGACCGGAUCA
rnacentral:ncRNA from 1 species